ACUCAAAGGAAUAGACGGGGGCCCGCACAAGCGGUGGAGCAUGGGGAUUAAUUCGUCAUUAACCGAAGAACCUUACCAGGGCUUGACAUCCCCGGAACCCUCGAGAAACCGAGGGGUGCCUCGCAAGAGGAGCCGGGAGACAGGUGUUGCAUGGCUGUCGUCAGCUCGUGUCGUGAGAUGUUGGGUUAAGUCCCGCAACGAGCGCAACCCUCACCCAAUGUUGCCAGCGUGAAGUCGGGCACUCUUUGGGAACUGCCCGUGUAAGCGGGAGGAAGGUGGGGAUGACGUCAAGUCAGCAUGGCCCUUACGUCCUGGGCUUCACCCAUGCUACAAUGGGCGUGACAGAGGGCCGCAAACCCGCGAGGGGGAGCCAAUCCCACAAACACGCUCUCAGUUCGGAUUGCAGGCUGCAACUCGCCUGCAUGAAGUCGGAAUCGCUAGUAACCGCCGGUCAGCCAAACGGCGGUGAAUACGUUCCCGGGCCUUGCACACACCGCCCGU
rnacentral:rRNA from 1 species